AUGAUGUUUGGUAACAUUCCAGAAAUCUGUGAACAAAAUUCUGAAACAGGAGUCAAGAUGGCUGCCAUGCUUCAUUUGUUGCCUUUCACUAUGUGUACAGGACUUCAAUUGCCAUUUGCAAGGUUAUCCCUGCCUUUUUUUUUUUUUUUUUUUUUUUUUUUGUUUGUUUGUUUGGUGUGUGUGUGUGUGUGUGUGUGUGUGUAUGUUAGGACUUCUGUGUACAUUUUUGAGCACUUAUUUCACCUCACAAUUUCCUACUGAUAUCUUAUUUAUACAAUGUUGAGAAUCAGUAAUUUAUUCUGAGUUUCAUGUACAGCAGCAAAUUAACUGAGUUUCAUUUUCUGUUCAGAAGUUACAGAUGGUUUAGUGAAUUUUUUUUUUUCAAACCAUGUAACAUUUCAACGUGUUGUAAUUUCUACUAAGAAGAGACAGAGAGAAUGAAUUUCCUCCGGAAUCUUCAAAUAGCAUUUUUUGUUUCUUGAGAUGACCAUUUUUGCUUUGAGACACUCUUUAUUUUAAUGAAAUUUAGACAAAACCUUCCAAAGUGCAAGAGUUAAGUCCAUCAUUGCUUUCCUAGUAUAUACUUUUCUUCUUUGUUUUUCUUAACCAUUUCUUCCAUAUGAGAUUUCUUGAAUAAUUUUCUUUCGAAGAUUGAGUGAGGAAACAUUUAGAGUGUAAUACUUUGUUGGUUUAAUGGCAAAAAGUUUCAAACCAGCAAGUGAGAAAUUGGAAAGACCAUUUAACAUUGUUCAAAGACAGAAAGUUUAUGCCUGUAUUUGAUUCUAUCCUUCUGUAUGAAUUUUAAAUGAAUUUAGUUAAUGAAUUUAAUAAUUUAAUCUAAUUUAAUGAGUAUUCUGAAUAUUAAAAGUUACUUUCAUUCAUAAAGAGUAUGCAGCAACAAAACAAUGACACUUCUUUUUGUGACAGUAUGUGUAGGCCAAAAAGACAAAGAAGCAUUUUAUGCUGGAGAAUGGCAGUGUAAGUGAAUCAUAGAAUCAUAGAAUUAGCUCGGUUGGAAAAGACCUCCAAGAUCAUCCAGUCCAAUCAUCCACCUACCACCAAUAACCCUACUAAACCAUGUCUCUCAACGCUAUAUCUAAAUGUUUGUUGAACACCUCCAGGGACGGUGACUCAACCACCUCCCUGGGCAGCCCGUUCCAGCGUCUGACCACUCUUUCAGAAAAGUAGUAUUUCCUAACAUCCAGCCUAAAUCUCCCCUGGCGCAACUUGAAGCCAUUCCCCCUCGUCCUGUCACUAGUUACAAGAGAGAAGAGGCUGACCCCCAGCUCACUACAACCUCCCUUCAGGUAGUUAUAGAGAGUGAUAAGGUCCUCCCUGAGCCUCCUCUUCUCCAGACUGAACAAUCCCAGCUUCCUCAGCCGCUCCCCAUAAGGCCUGUGCUCCAGACCCCUCACCAGCUUCGUCGCCCUCCUCUGAACAUGCUCCAGGGCCUCAAUGUCUUUUUUGCAGUGAGGGGCCCAAAACUGGACACAGUACUCGAGUUGGGGCCUCACCAGGGCUGAGUACAGAGGGAGAAUGACUUCCCUACUCCUACUGGCAACACUAUUUCUGAUACAAGCCAGGAUGCCAUUGGCCUUCUUGGCCACCUGGGCACACUGCUGGCUCAUGGUCAGCCGAGCUUCGACCAAUACCCCCAGGUCCGUUUCCUCCACACAACCAUCCAGCUACUCUGCCCCAAGUCUGUAGCACUGCCUGGGGUUGUUGCGGCCAAAGUGCAGGACCCAGCACUUGGUCUUGUUGAACCUCAUCCGAAUGUCUUCAGCCCAGAGAUCCAGCCUGUCCGGAUCUCUCUGUAGGGCCUCUCUACCCCCAGGCAGAUCGACACUUCCUGCCAGCUUGGUGUUGUCUGCAAACAAAGAGUAGAUAAAAUACUUUAGAUAAAGUCAGGCGGCAAAUUUACAAGCUCAAAUAUUGGAAAAUGUUUCAUUAACCUAAAUUCCCUCCAUCCCAUCAGAAUUUAUUUCUUUUUUAAUUUUUUUUGUGUGGAAUAGACUACUUGCAAUGGAAUUAUUGACUGGAUGCUCAGACCAGAGCAAGAUCCAAUACUUCUGAGGUUGUACGAAGGUGAUAAUUCAUCCCUCUUAGAGGGGUAAAAUAUGUGUAUUUGAAUCUCUUCCUGGUUUAUGUUUGUUUUUUGGGGGAGUAAACCAAGUUUAAUAAAGUGGUUUUCUAGAUGAAGUUUCUUCA
rnacentral:lncRNA from 1 species